CUUUGGUUUUAUGAGACCGGUUUAUAGCCUACAUUGAGCUAAUUCAGCCGAAGCCUUUCAGAUACAGUAUCAUCAUGUAUACCGCGCUUUUGUUUCUUGCUUUGUUCUCGUGCUUUUCUCUCAUAGCGGGAAAGUCGCUUGAAGCAGGUGAAGCGUGUGUUGGGAUUCAGAGAGAAGAUUCCUAUGACUUUGAGCUGCCCAACGCUGUAGCGGUGAACGUGCAAGACCCUGCGUGUGAUGCGGAGUGGACCAUUGACCAAUUCACAGCAUUCCUGGAUGGAAAUUCAACUCACUGUCCUCAUCCCUUCAAAAAAGUGACUCGUCGGGGGAUCAGUGUGUCUUACUGUCCAGCUUCAGUCAAAUUCCACGUCUCUUGUCCAAUAUACACCAAAGUCCUCACAUGUUGUUGCACAAAUUCCACCAAAAAUCCAGUUUAUAACACAACCCUGCCAUCUGGAGAUAUGUCUUCCUCUGCCAUCAAAACUGAUUCAUCAGUGAGGAUACACUUUCAGAAAUUCCACACAAAACAGAAGAAAUUCAGUAGUAAUAAUUAUCCUCAUUUCAUUGUUGGUCGAGGUUAUGGAACCACAGACUGCAAAAAUAAUGCAAGUUCUCUCUCUCUAG
ensembl:lncRNA